rnacentral:sRNA from 1 species
AGUUAGUGCCAGUGCUGCGUGUGGAGGGCUGACUCUUGGCGCGAUGCCUGUGCAGAUCAACAGGCGGUCCUUCGGUCGGAGUGGACAUCGGAUGGUGGCCUGGAAGAGACAAUUGAUCCUUUUUGUGGGCUUCCAUGAGAGUGCACGGGAUUACAUCUACUACAACGAUGUGUAUACCUUUAAUCUGGACACCUUCACAUGGAGCAAGCUGUCCCCGUCAGGGACAGGCCCACACCCAGAUCAGGCUGCCAGAUGUCCGUCACUCCCCAGGGCGGCAUCAUCAUCUACGGGGCUACUCGAAACAGAGAGUUAAGAAGGACGUGGACAGGGGCACGCGGCACUCAGACAUGUUCCUGCUGAAGCCGGAGGACGGGAGAGAAGACAAGUGGGUGUGGACUCGGAUGAACCCUUCGGGGGUCAAGCCCACCCCACGGUCUGGCUUUUCUGCGGCCAUGGCCCUGAAUCACCAGACACUGUUCUUCGGGGGUGUCUGUGACGAGGAAGAGGAGGAGAGCCUGGCGGGCGAGUUCUUCAACGAUCUGUACUUCUACGACGCCACCAGGAACCGUUGGUUUGAGGGACAGCUGAAGGGACCCAAGUCUGAAAAGAAGAAACGCAGGCGGGGCAGAAAAGAGGAGUCCGAAGGUGGUAGCAAGCUGGCAUGUGGGGGAGCUGGCACCCAGGGGCCUGUGCAGGUGGUCAAGGAGGUGGUGGCUGAGGAUGGCACCGUGGUCACCAUUAAGCAGGUGCUCGCCGCCCCAGGCUCGGCGGGGCAGCCCCGGUCUGAGGACGAAGACAGCCCCGAGGAGGCCGGCAGCUCUGCACCCGGGCCGUGUCCACGCUCCAACGCCAUGCUGGCCGUGAAGCAUGGGGUGCUCUACGUCUAUGGGGGCAUGUUUGAGGCCGGCGACCGCCAGGUCACCCUCAGCGACCUGCACUGCCUGGACCUACACAGGAUGGAGGCGUGGAAGGCCUUGGUGGAGAUGGACCCAGAAACUCAGGAGUGGCUGGAGGAGACGGACUCGGAAGAGGACAGUGAGGAGGUUGAGGGCGCCGAGGGUGGAGACGAGGACGAGGAUGAAGACAGCAGAGAGGAGAGCGGUGCGGAGGACUGAGAAGAGCCCCUGCGCCAGGGGCUCCUGGCAAGUGCUGGUGCCACAUCCGCCCAGGACCCAGCCGUGUUGGGUGAAGCUCUUGGGGCCAACCUGUGCCCUGAUGCACAGGAGAGAGCUGAAGGUGGGUGGCCCAGGCCAGGGUGUGAACUUUCUCGCAUGGUUUAGUCUCUGACGUGGCGCCGGGCCGGAGGUUCAACUGAGUGCAGUGCAGGUGAUUCCCUCAGCAGCCUGUGUGUUGUAUAAAAUAAACUGGACUUGAAACAAG